GCCCGCUGAUGUCAUCCCCGGCCCGCCGCCGCCGCCCCGGAGGAUUUAAAGGGCCCGCGCCCUCCGCGCUGGGGGCCGCAGCCGCGAGACGCAGUCCCCCAGCCCCAGUGCAGGAGCGCGGGCUUACGCGUGGGGGUAGGGGAGCGCACAGAUACUGACACCCUAAUGCAGUCCAGGGCACAGGUGGAAAAGACGGGCUGAGGGGACACAGGGAAGAGGGGAAGAGGAGGGCGCACAAAAAGCGGGGGUGAUGGGAGGGGAGGGUCUAGACCCAAAGUCUUCUCUCCCCGCCUGCCGGGUUCUCUCUCCUCUCCAGGCGGAGCACUGGGCCCCUGCGAAAACAGGCGCUAUUCACGACACUGCAAAAGAUGUUAGACUGCUGGGGGCUCAGUCCGUCUCCAGGUUCAGAGUGCCGCAGAGAACACAGGCCAGGUUGAUUCCGGGCAAGAGAUUUGAGGAGACAGCUCAAACUGUGAUGGGCACAGAGAGGACCCUCAGAUCCCACUCUCAUUCUCCCCUGUUGAAGGAGGGGUGCCACAGUACCAAAGCACCGACACCUGAGUCAUGGCUCCGAGUGGUGCACGAGUGGUGGUGCACGUUUAGCCAAGUCACCUCCCAGCUCUGAGCUUGGGUUUCCUUAAACAGCAAAUGGGAGGAAGGACCCUGUCCUCCCCAGGUCACAGGGAGAAUUAAUAAAAGCUUCUACUGGCAUCCAGAGCCGCCGAUGAAA